CGUGGGCUAACGAACCCCGGCGCGGGAUGCGCCAAGGAAAACAUAAAACGAAACGCCACCGCACCCCCCGCCCCGUUCGCGGUGCGCUCGGGUGGGUGCGCGCGGCGUCUCCCAUAAUGUCUUAACGACUCUCGGCAACGGAUAUCUCGGCUCUCGCAUCGAUGAAGAACGUAGCGAAAUGCGAUACUUGGUGUGAAUUGCAGGAUCCCGUGAACCAUCGAGUCUUUGAACGCAAGUUGCGCCCGAAGCCAUUAGGCCGAGGGCACGUCUGCCUGGGCGUCACGCAUCGCGUCGCCCCCCCUCCAUCGCCCGCACGGCCGGGCGGUGGGAGCGGGGGCGGAGAUUGGCCUCCCGUGAGCACGAGCGCGCGGACGGCCCAAAUCGGAUCCCCCGGCGGCGCAAGUCACGGCCAGUGGUGGUUGAGGACAUCAACUCUCGUGCUGACAGCCGUGCGCUACCGCGUCGCCUUUCGGGCACCGAAAACGACCCAACCGCGCACUCGCGCCUUCGACCGCGACCCCAGGUCAGGCGGGAUCACCCG
rnacentral:rRNA from 1 species